CGUGUAGGCGGUACCAUAAGUCAGAUGUGAAAGCCCUAGGCUUAACCUAGGAGGUGCAUUUGAUACUGUGGAACUAGAGAUCGAGAGAGGUAAGUGGAAUUACGAGUGUAGAGGUGAAAUUCGUAGAUAUUCGUAAGAACACCAGUGGCGAAGGCGACUUACUGGCUCGAUACUGACGCUAAGGCGCGAAAGCGUGGGAGCAAACA
rnacentral:rRNA from 1 species